rnacentral:rRNA from 1 species
CCUAGGGGAGGCAGCAGUGGGGAAUUUUGGACAAUGGGCGCAAGCCUGAUCCAGCCAUGCCGCGUGCGGGAAGAAGGCCUUCGGGUUGUAAACCGCUUUUGUCAGGGAAGAAACACUCUGGGCUAAUACCCCGGGGUAAUGACGGUACCUGAAGAAUAAGCACCGGCUAACUACGUGCCAGCAGCCGCGGUAAU